GGGCGGCCCGCAACAGUCCAUUGCUGGCGGCGAAAGCCUGACGCACCAACGCCGUCGUGAGUGAUGAAGGCUUUCGGGUCGUAAAGCUCUGUCGAGGGGAAAGAAGUGUAUUAGGGCUAAUAUCCCUGAUACUUGACGGUACCCCUAAAGGAAGCACCGGCUAACUCCGUGCCAGCAGCCGCGGUAAUACGGGGGGUGCAAGCGUUGUUCGGAAUUAUUGGGCGUAAAGCGCGUGUAGGCGGUUUGAUUAGUCUGAUGUGAAAGCCCUGGGCUCAACCCAGGAAGUGCAUUGGAAACUGUCAGACUUGAAUACGGGAGAGGGUAGUGGAAUUCCUAGUGUAGGAGUGAAAUCCGUAGAUAUUAGGAGGAACACCGGUGGCGAAGGCGGCUACCUGGACCGAUAUUGACGCUGAGACGCGAAAGCGUGGGUAGCAAACAGGAUUAGAUACCCUGGUAGUCCACGCCGUAAACGAU
rnacentral:rRNA from 1 species